CUCACAGGACAGGGCUCCAAGUGGGUGGCCCAGAACCCUGCAGAGAGAAAGCCUGUCCUCCUCAGGGCCUCUGUGUCCACCAGAGCAUCUCUGCAUAGUCUCCCAAUUUGGGGGGCCAGGCCCCUCUCUGGGGUGGGAGUGGGGGCGGUCAAAGCAGGCAAACCUCAGAGCUGCUCUGUUGCCCUCAGGGUGGAGGAGGUGAACUGGGCUUCAUGGGAGCAGACGCUGCCUACGCUGUGUGAGGACCCGUCAGGGGCAGGUGUCCCUCGAACUCUCGAGAACCCUGUCCGGGCUUCCCCACCCAAGGAGGAUGAGGAUGGUGCCUCUGAGGAAAACUAUGUGCCUCUCCAGCUCCUCCAGUCCAACUGAUGGCUCAGAUGCAGCAGGAGGCCAGGACAGAGCAGGGGAUCUUUCCAUCCACAUCUGCUGGCUCUGGGGUCCCAGUGAAUUCUGGUGGCAAAUAUAUAUUUUCACUAACUAA
rnacentral:sRNA from 1 species